AAUUAGGCAGAAACCUUUUUGCCCUAUGCCAUAACCUGUGUCUGCAACUUCCUCUAACUGGGAAAUAGUUAAGCAGAUUCAUAGAGCUGAAUGAUAAAAUUGUACUACGAGAUGCACUGGGACUCAAUGUGACCUUAUCAAGUGAGAUGGAGUCUUGCCCUGUCUCACAGGCUGGAGCCCAAUGGCGCGAUCUCGGCUCACUGCAACCUCCACCUCCCAGGUUGAAAUGUUUCUCCUGCCUCAGCCUCCCAAGUAACUGGGAUUACAGCAGGCUUGGUGCAUUUGACACUUCAUGAUAUCAGCCAAAGUGGAACUAAAAACAGCUCCUGGAAGAGGACUAUGACAUCAUCAGGUUGGGAGUCUCCAGGGACAGCGGACCCUUUGGAAAAGGACUAGAAAGUGUGAAAUCUAUCAGUCUUCGAUAUGAAAUUCUCUGUCUCCGUAAAAGCAUUUCAUAUUUACAAGACACAGGCCUACUCCUAGGGCAGCAAAAAGUGGCAACAGGCUAGCAGAGGGAAAAGAGAUCAUGAGGCAUUUCAGAGUGCACUGUCUUUUCAUAUAUUUCUCAAUGCCGUAUGUUUGGUUUUAUUUUGGCCAAGCAUAACAAUCUGCUCAAAAAAAAAAAUCUGGAGAAAACAAAGGUGCCUUUGCCAAUGUUAUGUUUCUUUUUGGCAAGCCCUGAGAUUUCUGAGGGGAAUUCACAUAAAUGGGAUCAGGUCAUUCAUUUACGUUGUGUGCAAAUAUGAUUUAAAGAUACA
rnacentral:lncRNA from 1 species